GCGACUGCGUGCAUGAGAAGUAGCUACACACCUGUAACUGUAAGCCAUGGACGAAGACGCAGCAACUUGGAGUGGGAAUGUGAGGGCUCUGUCAUUAGUCGCAGUGUAUUUGCUGGCUUGCAAGACUGAGAAGACCCCCAAAACAUCAGAUGAGCUUGCCCUAAUGCAGGCAGGGAUAAGGAAAAGAUAUCAAGCCUGUUAGAGAAGUACCCCAGAAUAGCCUCGAUCUCAGGCGGUUGGUUGUUCUACAAGUCAUCAGG